rnacentral:rRNA from 1 species
CCUACGGGAGGCUGCAGUGGGGAAUAUUGGGCAAUGGGCGCAAGCCUGACCCAGCAACGCCGCGUGAAGGAAGAAGGCUUUCGGGUUGUAAACUUCUUUUCUGAGGGACGAAGAAAGUGACGGUACCUCAGGAAUAAGCCACGGCUAACUACGUGCCAGCAGCCGCGGUAAUACGUAGGUGGCAAGCGUUAUCCGGAUUUAUUGGGUGUAAAGGGCGCGUAGGUGGGCGCUUAAGUCAGGUGUGAAAACUCCGGGCUCAACCUGGAGACUGCACUUGAAACUGGGUGUCUUGAGGGCAGGAGAGGAAAGUGGAAUUCCUAGUGUAGCGGUGAAAGGCGGAGAUAUUAGGAGGAACACCAGUGGCGAAGGCGACUUUCUGGGCUGUACCUGACGCUGAGGCGCGAAAGCGUGGGUAGCGAACGGUAUUAGAUACCCGUGUAGUC